rnacentral:rRNA from 1 species
AAUCAUGGCUCAGGACGAACGCUGGCGGCGCGCCUAACACAUGCAAGUCGAACGAGAGAUGAAGAGCUUGCUCUUCAAAUCGAGUGGCGAACGGGUGAGUAACGCGUGAGGAACCUGCCUCAAAGAGGGGGACAACAGUUGGAAACGACUGCUAAUACCGCAUAAGCCCACAGCUCGGCAUCGAGCAGAGGGAAAAGGAGUGAUCCGCUUUGAGAUGGCCUCGCGUCCGAUUAG